UGUUGUUGCGACAUUUAAGGAAACAAUAUAUAUGCUUCUAGAAUAUUGUGGAGACUGAAUAUUUUAUUUAGUCUGCUGAUUUUUUAGCCUAUGGCGAAAAAGCUCAUGCUGCUGAUUGGCUAUAUAAGGAAGACUCAUACCCUAGUUUUAUUCUCUAAUUCAAUAGUAAUGAAUUGAGUCUUUUAGGGUUUCGACUUGUGCUUUAUUUGUGAGCCUCUCUUUAUAUCAUCUUGAUGCACUGAGCAGGACCUGUAGUCGAGUUGUAAUGAAUCAAAACUAUCGACUGAUAAAAGUCUUAUUAGGGUUUUGAAUCCUUGUUAUUUGUGAAUAACUCGUAAGCUUUUAAGCAAGAUUGGAUUUUAUUUCUUGGAGUAUGUCUCCAUUUUGAUUGUAUUUGUUUAAAUCAUAGGGGUUGUGAUUGAUUGAGGGAAAGUGAGAUGGGAUCUCAGAUCUAGGAGCUCCUAGGUUGAAGUCAAUACGGGUAGGUCCUAGGUGAUAAGUUGUAAACUUGGAGUUUGCUGAGAACUAAGAACUAGGACUACACUAGUGAAUUUCUUUCCUGGCUUGGUUGCCCCCAAAGCAGGCAUGUUUGUCACCGAAUUGGGUUAACAAACCAACUGUGCCCCUGAGGGAAGAUAAAUUCUGGACUCAUGGACAACUUUAAGGAAGGAGGUAUUUGAUUUUUUUUGUAUGCCUCUUAAGUGGGAGUAGUAUGCUUUACUGAUUUACUGCUGAGGGGCAGUAGCUCUUAUGUUAUUUUUCUUUUCUCCUUGGGUUUUUAUGUGA
rnacentral:lncRNA from 1 species